UAGAAAAUGGUAAAAUGGAAUUACAGGGGGUUUUGAUCUCCCAGGUGUAGGUUCAAUUCCUACUUUUCUAA
rnacentral:tRNA from 1 species